rnacentral:tRNA from 1 species
GGGUAGGUAGCAAAGCGGUCAACUGCACCUGACUGUAAAUCAGGCGGCUUCGGCCUUCGGGGGUUCGAAUCCCUCCCUGCCCA